rnacentral:rRNA from 1 species
CGGAGGGGGCUAGCGUUGUUCGGAAUUACUGGGGCGUAAAGCGCACGUAGGCGGAUCAGUCAGUCAGGGGGUGAAAUCCCGGGGCUCAACCCCGGAACUGCCUUUGAUACUGCUGGUCUUGAGGUCGAGAGAGGUGAGUGGAAUUCCGAGUGUAGAGGUGAAAAUUCGUAGAUAUUCGGAGGAACACCAGUGGCGAAAGGCGGCUCACUGGCUCGAUACUGAACGCUGAGGUGCGAAAAGCGUGGGGGAGCAAAACAGGAUU